CGAGAGGCGUCGGGAUCGCGGGCGCCGGCUGAGCCAGCGGCUGCUGGGAGGCUGUGUGCGCACGCCUGCGGGGCGAGGAGGCCGGGCCCUGCGCCUCAGGCCUGAGAACUGGGAGGAAGCUGGAGAAAAGAUGCCCUCUGAAUAUUUGUGUUUGGCUGCCCAGGCUCGCCUUGACUCCAAAUGGUUGAAAACAGAUAUACAGAUGGAGUCUUGCUCUGUUGCCCAGGCUAGAGUGCAGUGGUGCCAUCUCGGCUUACCGCAAGCUCCGCCUCCCGGGUUCAUGCCAUUGUCCUGCCUCAGCGUCCCGAGUACCUGGAACUAUAGGUGUCCACCAUCAUACCUGGCCAAUUUUUUGUAUUUUCAGUAGAGACGGGGUUUCACUGUGUCAGCCAAGAUGGUCUCCAUCUUCUGACCUCGUGAUCCACCGGCCUUGGCCUCUUAGAGUGCUGGGAUUACAGGCAUAAGCCACCACUCCCGGCCGAUAUAUUGGUUUGUUUAUGAAAAUUAUACUGGAUCUGUUACAGAUGAUAGUGUCAAACCAAGUGGAACAAAGAAAGAAGAUCUGGAUGACAAAGAGAAAAAAGAUGAAACUCCUGCACCUGUAUAUAGGGCCAAGUCAAUUCUGGAGAGCUGGGUAUGGGAGUAAGCAACCAGGGAUGUUCACAGAACGCCAGGCACCAAAAGGCCAGAAGCAUGCCCCUGCAGGACCAGCACUUGGCUCUGGCCAUCCUGCUGGAGCUGGCUGUGCAGAGAGGCACGCUGAGCCAAAUGUUGUCUGCCAUCCUGUUGUUGCUUCAGCUGUGGGACAGCAGGGCACAGGAAACUGACAAUGAGCGUUCUGCCCAGGGCACCAGCACCUUGCUUUUGCCCUUGCUGCAAACGUUCCAGAGCAUCAUUUGUGCUUUUGUCUGGCCCUCUGAGCCCCAGUGAGUUUCCUGAGGUACCUCACCCUCCACAAGACAACGAGCUUGCCAUUGAUCUGCAACAAACGGCGGUUGUUGUCAUGGCCCAUUUAGAAGAUCUGGCUACACCCUGUAGAUGCCUCUGCCGUGUAGCUGUC
rnacentral:lncRNA from 1 species